AUUGAAGUGGCCGAUAAAAGCGAUAAAUUGUAAAUUUAUUUAUGAAUAAAUUAUUCUUUCAAUA
rnacentral:tRNA from 1 species